UCGCUGCUUUCGGAGUUGCCACUGAGAUCGUAUUCAAAGGGUAUGCUGUCAUGUGCCUAGGAGGAGUACGCUGCCCACAUUGACUGAUCGUACUUAAAAUAUGCCUUCAUCGAGUACUAAUUCAGUAAUUACAAUAGGUAUUAAUGUCCCUCAUUAUCGUCUACGGUGUUAUAAUCAACUCCUUUGUAUGUGCUCCCCCCACUCGCUACUAUAACAAAAGCAGGGGUGGAAGGAGUAUCACAGAUGGUGAAUUUAUGGCUGCAGGUCAAAAUAGUGAAACUGGAGAAAUUCAAGUCAGGGAUCGAAGAUCUGCCGUCGAAAGGCCACCACGUGGUAAAUAGGCAGUGCACAUGAACACACGUUGCUGAUCUGAAUUGCAGCGAAAAAAGAACAAAGAUUUUGCGUCUAUAAUAAAGCUGCAUUCCUCAUUGUUUGUCAAUUUGUAAUUUCAUAGCAAUACAGUAAGAACUUUGAUAGAUACAUGCAUUUUUAUAUUCACAAAGUGAAUGGCAUUGGGCAGUAUUCUAUUUUAACCCUCUCCCUCAUUAAAUGUCGAUUUUAUGAGUUAUAUAGUAAUGAAUAGAAACGAAGCGCAUUUAAUAAAAACUUGAAAAAGGAUUAUUAAUUCUUAUCAAUCAUAUUCAAAAUUUGUUGUAAGGAAUUUCUCGAUGAGUCUGUGUUGCAAUGGGGAGGUGUAUAACUACAGUUGUAGGAAUCUGCAGUCCCAUGGAAACUGUUCAUUGAAACUUUUCUUUAUAUAAAACUAUAAGAGAUAUAUAUCGUAAUCAGUGAUGCAUGCAGUCAUGGACAUUGUUCAUAUAAAAGACCAGGUAUACAUGAUGUCACAUUUGGUUAACCGUUUCCUUACGUCAACAAACAAUUAGGUCUAUAUCAUAUUUGCAAAAAUCUUUACUGUGUUCCAUGAGAAGUUUACUUACGUUAUCAGAAGCAGUCAUAGCUAGACUAUACUUCGAUUUUUGAACACCAGAUUAUAGACUGAACUCCAUGAUGUUGGAUGCUACCAAUUACAGGUUCUUUAAAUCCCCGCGAAUCGAGGAUGGCAUUACUUCAGAUUGUGGGGAAUGACAGAAAGUGUUGCUCCCUCAGUUGAGUCAAUUGAUUUGAUUUUAAAUUUUCACUAUAGUUAAAAAAAAUGGGAAAUUAUAGAUCAAAAUUUGUACGUACAUAAUAAACAACUUUGCAUGUAAUAGUAGCUCAAUGGUCGAGCGUUCGCUUCGUAACCGAAAGGUCUUGAGUUCCAACCCUGCUCGCAUCAUGUAAAACCUAAGGCGCUAGUGAAGGUAGUGAUUACCCCUUCGCCUAACGCUCGGCAUUUAGAAUUAGGAAUCACAGGUCUUUCGGAUAUAACCUUAAGAAUGUAGGUCACAUGAAGCAGUAGACGUUUGUACUUUAAAGAACUCUCAUUGCCACGACUCUGAGUGCUAAGUAUAGGUCUUAUUUUGUGGUCCUUCAUCUUCUGCGGAUUAUGUCUCAAUAUGAGCGAAGACUUGGAAUGUAAAACAAGUAAAUAUUCAAUCAAUCAGCGUGUCAUUAACUUUGUAUAUCAUCAUUGCUAUGGCUUACAAAUACUAAAGUGUUCUUUAUUCUGAAUGUUACCAUUGUUGUAACUUGCAAAGAUCAACGUCAAUUUUAUAACGUAUAUUAGUAUUAAUACAUUAAAGAUUUAUAAAUAUCAA